rnacentral:rRNA from 1 species
CCCGAGUAGAGUGGCGCACGGGUGAGUAACGCGUGGGUAAUCUGCCCUCGAGUGGGGAAUAACCUCGCGAAAGCGGGGCUAAUACCGCGUAACACCGCUUUCACUAUGUGAAGGUGGUCAAAGAUGGCCUCUGUUUACAAGCUGUCGCUUGAGGAGGAGCCCGCGUCCCAUUAGCUUGUUGGUGGGGUAACGGCCUACCAAGGCUGCGAUGGGUAGCCGGCCUGAGAGGGUGAUCGGCCACACUGGAACUGAGACACGGUCCAGACUCCUACGGGAGGCAGCAGUGAGGAAUAUUGCGCAAUGGGCGAAAGCCUGACGCAGCGACGCCGCGUGGAGGAUGAAGGCCUUCGGGUCGUAAACUCCUGUCGAGGGGGACGAAAUGACCUUUCGCGAAUAACGGAAGGUCUUGACGGUACUCCUGGAGGAAGCCCCGGCUAACUCCGUGCCAGCAGCCGCGGUAAUACGGAGGGGGCCAGCGUUGCUCGGAAUUACUGGGCGUAAAGGGCUCGUAGGCGGUCUGAUAAGUCCUGUGUGAAAUCCCUUGGCUCAACCAAGGAAUUGCGCAGGAUACUGUCGGACUAGAGGCCGGGAGAGGGAAGUGGAAUUCCCAGUGUAGCGGUGAAAUGCGUAGAUAUUGGGAGGAACACCGG